rnacentral:rRNA from 1 species
GACGGAGGGUGCAAGCGUUGCUCGGAAUCACUGGGCGUAAAGGGCGCGUAGGCGGGAUGGCAAGUCGGUCGUGAAAUCCUUCGGCUCAACCGAAGAACGUCGGCCGAUACUGCCGUUCUUGAGGGAUGCAGAGGAGAUUGGAAUUCCCGGUGUAGCGGUGAAAUGCGUAGAUAUCUGGAGGAAUACCGGUGGCGAAGGCGGCAUCCUGGACCGGCAUUGACGCUGAGGAGCGAAAGCCAGGGGAGCAAACGGG